ensembl:lncRNA
AUGGAGUCAUUUCGUCGUCCUCCUCCCCUUGCUAUGCAAGGUAAUUUGGCUGAGAACUGGAGACGGUGGGAACAGGCCUUUCAGUUGUAUCUUGCUGCAGCGGGACUUGAGAAUGUGUCAAAGAAGCGGCAGAUAGCUAUCCUGCUACAUUGUGUGGGAGAGGAAGGAGUUUCUUUAUAUAAUACAUUUGUUUUUGCUGAGGAGAACCCGAAAGAUAUUGCAGAGGUUCUGGAACAGUUUAGGACUUAUUUUUUACCUCGGAAGAACAUUGUGUUUGAAAGGUUUUGUUUCUGGAACCAUAUGCAGAGUCCUGGAGUUACAAAUGUGCAAUUUAUUGCUGAGCUAAAACUGAAAGCAGCCAGCUGUGAAUUUGGAAUGGCAGUUAAUGAGAUGAUAAGAGAUAAAGUUGUUUUUAGUUUACAGCAAGAGAAACUGAAACAAAAGUUGUUACAAGAAGCCGAUCUUACACUUGAGAAGGCCGUGGAGAUAUGCCGGGUUGAUGAGACAACGAGAGCUCAACUGAGAACCAUGGCAAUAACAUCGGAAGAAGGAGUGUUUGAAUUACAAGACAGCCAUGGAGAAAACAAAGAGAUUAUAACUCAAGCUCUGGGAACCAGGGAGUCAAGACACAGAGACAAUUGGAAAAAUCAGAAUAAGUGUGGUUAUUGUGGUACAGCUCAUGAACCUCGGAGAUGUCCAGCAUUUGGAAAGACCUGCAACAAGUGUGGCAAGAAAAAUCAUUAUGCCAGGUUAUGCAGGUCAAGGGUGACCAAUCCUGUGAAUAUACAAGCCAGACAACACAUUCAUGAGUUGAAUGUAAGUAAUUUAAUGAUAGGAAAGCUGGAUGAAGAAAUGAAGGAUACACAGAUAACAAACAAGGCAGGAUGGAUUCCUAUUAACGUGCGUCAAGAUCUACAAAGAGCUCAGGAAAGACAGAAACAUUUUUAUGAUCGAACAGCAAGACCCCUCAAACCACUAAGAGAGGGAGAUUUGGUAUGGAUGCAAUCCAAUAAUUGCAAAGAAAGAUGGCUUCCUGCCGUUGUGAUAGAAAAAUGUAAACAGCCUCGGUCAUAUCUAAUAAAGAAUCAGGACGGUCGCGUAUAUCGGCGUAAUAGGCGUCAAUUAAAACAACGGAACCAAACACCCGAAACUACAAUUCAAGGAAAUACAACAUAUAAUGGUUCUAAAGGGAUGUUUGUGAACAAAAGUGACACACAUGUAAUAGCAGAUAGAAAGCCAACGUAUGUGACAUCGCAUGGCAGGCCUGUGUUUGAACCUGUAAGGUACACUCCUUAGAAGGAUGGUGCUGAAGACCAUCCUCAACGGUGGGCUAAGUACUAGUGACCUCUGGCCCCAUAGAAGACAUAUUUUCUUACCUGUCUAGUGAUGUAAUGAAGCUGCCAAGUUUUAAUGAGAGACUUUUGUAAUUUUGAUGUAUGAUUUUUUUAACACUUUUAUAAAAUGUAUUUUGUUUUGUCUUGUCAGAUGUGUAGUUAUUAUGUAUGAAGGGGAGAUGUGGUAUACUGUGCCUUUAAGCCACACUCUCUGGUUGUUACAGCUGUAAUGUAAGAACUACUGAUUGCUGGGAUAUAUGGCUUUUGUGCACCCAAAGCCUCAGUAGCCUUCCUAAUGUUUGGAAUAAACUCUUUCCUACAAGACUCUGCUGGCUGUUGAGCUUCCUUCAUACGAAGAAUAUUACAGUGAUGUCUGGUGUGUUGUGUUCCAGAACUCUGGAUUCGGAACCCCCACAGUAUUAUUAUUAUUAUUAUUAUUAUUAUUAUUAUUAUUAUUAUUAUUAUUAUUAUUUCUUAUCUGCCUCUUCUCACAGCUCGAGGCAGGUUAAAACAUUGCUAAAAACAUACAAUCAAUCAAAACACAUAAUCAUUUAUAAAUAUUCCUUAAAAUACACAAUUUCUUUAAAAAUGGCCAUCUUUCGGGGUGCUUUGAUUGUGCUUUUCUUGCAUGGCAGGGCAUUGUCCUAGAUGGCCCAUGUGAUCUCUUUCAACUCUAUAAUGAUUCUAUUACAAGUAACAUGAGUAAUGGUGAUGGAUCCCAAAUCAUGGAAGACACCAGAUUGUAAGCCAUUCUAAUCAACCUCCCAUUUCUUAUGGUCUUUAAUAAAUGGCAUUUCUAUUUUUAAAUGGAUGGGCCAACCUUUAUUGCCCCUACCCUCAAAAUGUCAAAGAUAGUUCCAGUUCUGUGUUUAUCAUAGCAAAGUUAUAUUCUAUAUCAAUUAUUUUCACCACAAAUACUUUGAGAAUACUUGAACUGGACAUCCAAAUUAUCACUAUUGAUCUGCUUCUUUGAUUUCAUGAAGAGAAAAUCUGAAAUCAAAGCAAUACACAUGAGCUGAAAGCUCAUGCUCAAAAGUUUAUGCCGGUGCAUUUGUAUUCUUGCUGUAUACUGAUACCUUUUCUCAGCAGGAGCCUCUUCAUUAGUAAGUUGUCAAGGCUCUUCUUAAAUCAAUGUUUGUCAAAAUGGGAAAAUGUAUGUACAGUCAAAUAAAAAGGAACUCCUGAGCCAGCAGGUAGGGCCAGAGGAGUAUAGCAUUGAGCAACCUGCAAGAAUCAAAGGUUUCAAAUUUUUAUACUAGGAUAAUUGGUGGACUCUUUCCUUCUCACAUGGGCAGAGUUACCAGCCCUCCAGAGCUGACCUGGAAUUAUUGAGAACUUAACUCUAUCUCCUGGAAAACUGUCAACACGACAGAUCUUGUCUGUAGUCCAGGAAUUUAUCUUGAUAUCCAAGUAUGUGUUGAGAUCAAAAUUGGAGACACAAUAUGCCUAAGUAGGAAGGUGCAAAGAAAUACGAAGAGUGGUGGUGAAUAGUAAGUAAAAACAAAGGAAAGGAAACAUUUAGUCCAAGCCCACCCAUUCAAAAUCAAUUCUAAACACAUAUUGGAAGGGAAACUGAGUUUAAGAUUAUCACCAGAGACCUCAUCACACUAGAGUUUGGAUCCACUUUAAAUCAACUUUAGGGAGGGGCCUUUAAACAGCUCGGCCAGACAGGUCCUGAGCCUCACCAAACUACAAACCCCAGAAUUCUUCAGGAGACAGAAACCGGAUUUAAAGUGGAUCCAUGCUCUGUUGUGAUGAGGCAGAGGCAAUAUGCCCUCCUACAAUAUUAAUUGCAUGCUCCAGUGCACCAAGUAAACUUUGAUGAUGGGAAACAGGAAAACUUUGACCUUCAGUAGGAAACUGGAAUGUGGCAUUAAGAUUUUUUUUACCUCUACAGCAACUAAAGCAUGGGUAACUACAGUGUUUUUGGAGUGUGACUCCCAUCAAAUCUUAUUACUGGCCCUAGGGACUAGAGCCAACGUGAGUUUUAGAGUCAAAACACCAUCUGAAACCC